UCAUCGAUGCGACCUCGAAAUUUGACGUCUUUUCUUUGGGUGGUGUGGUUUCAGUUUCAGAUCGGGCUAUGCCAACUUUCGGUGACGGCGGAUAAAGAGAGGAACAUUGCCCAUGCUCGCGACGCGAUUCGGGAAAUUUUUUUUUCUUUCCGAAAAUGGGCAUCAAGGUAGUUCCACCUCCCUCUUCUUCAUUGUUGAUUGAGUCGUCCGUUGAUUUCGAUAGGGGCUGACGAAGCUACUGGCGGACAAUGCCCCUAAGGCGAUGAGGGAGCAAAAGCUGGAGAGCUACUUCGGCCGGAGGAUCGCCGUCGAUGCCAGCCUGAGCAUCUAUCAGUUCCUCGUUGUGGUUGGGAGGAAGAGGACUCAGAUGCUCACCAAUGAGGCUGGUCAAGUCACCAGUCAUCUGCAAGGCAUGCAUUACCGAACGAUUAGGCUGUUGGAAGCAGGGAUACAGCCAGUGUGACACAACAGCACAAUGAAGACUGCAAAAAACUAUUGAGACUUAUGGGUAUCCCAGUAGUUGAGGUUACUAUUCUGUCUGAGAAGUUCAUUCUUCUUUAUUCGUAACAAAAAUGUUAGAUACCAGAUUCAGUUUAUGUAUGUCAGGCCCCUUCAGAAGCAGAGGCACAAUGUGCUGCUCUUUGAAAAGCUGG